AUGCAACAACUUGUUCGAGGGGGGCAAACCGCGGUGAACAUAAACGGGGAAGUAGGCCCAUUUAAAAAAAAACAUGGGGUCAGGCAAGGAGACCCAAUCUCUCAUUUGUUAUUCAACAUCCUCACCGACGCCCUUGCCCGGAUGCUUGAUAAGGCCAAGGAGGCUGUCCACAUCUUGGGAGUGGGCACUAGAGUGGUUAAGGGUGACCUAGCCCAUCUCCAAUAUGUGGACGACACAUUGAUAUUUAUAAAAAACUGUGAGAGGGAAAUUGUAAACUUGAAAUUCCAAUUAAUGUGCUUCGAGGCCAUGUCAGGUCUAAAGAUCAAUUUCGACAAAAGUGAGACGUUUUUCAUGGGAGGAGACCUAGAAUUACAACUCUGGGCCGCACACAUGAUGAACUGUGAACUCGGAUCCAUCUGCAUGAAAUAUUUGGGAAUGCUGAUAUCUUCCCGGGCCUAA
rnacentral:rRNA from 1 species